AAUGCAGGCCUAACACAUGCAGCCGAGCGGUAGAGUUUCUUCGGAAACUUGAGAGCGGCGCACGGGUGCGUAACACGUGUGCAACCUACCUUUAUCUGGGGGAUAGCCUUUCGAAAGGAAGAUUAAUACCCCAUAAUAUAAUGAUUGGCAUCAAUUAUUAUUGAAAACUCCGGUGGAUAGAGAUGGGCACGCGCAAGAUUAGAUAGUUGGUGAGGUAACGGCUCACCAAGUCAAUGAUCUUUAGGGGUCCUGAGAGGGAGAUCCCCCACACUGGUACUGAGACACGGACCAGACUCCUACGGGAGGCAGCAGUGAGGAAUAUUGGACAAUGGGUGAGAGCCUGAUCCAGCCAUCCCGCGUGAAGGAAGACGGUCCUAUGGAUUGUAAACUUCUUUUGUACAGGGAUAAACCUACUCUCGUGAGGGUAGCUGAAGGUACUGUACGAAUAAGCACCGGCUAACUCCGUGCCAGCAGCCGCGGUAAUACGGAGGGUGCAAGCGUUAUCCGGAUUUAUUGGGUUUAAAGGGUCCGUAGGCGGACUUGUAAGUCAGUGGUGAAAUCUCAUAGCUUAACUAUGAAACUGCCAUUGAUACUGCAGGUCUUGAGUAAAUUUGAAGUGGCUGGAAUAAGUAGUGUAGCGGUGAAAUGCAUAGAUAUUACUUAGAACACCAAUUGCGAAGGCAGGUCACUAAGAUUUAACUGACGCUGAUGGACGAAAGCGUGGGUAGCGAACAGGAUUAGAUACCCUGGUAGUCCACGCCGUAAACGAUGCUAACUCGUUUUUGGAUUUUCGGAUUCAGAGACCAAGCGAAAGUGAUAAGUUAGCCACCUGGGGAGUACGUCCGCAAGGAUGAAACUCAAAGGAAUUGACGGGGGCCCGCACAAGCGGUGGAUUAUGUGGUUUAAUUCGAUGAUACGCGAGGAACCUUACCAAGACUUAAAUGGGAAUUGACAGGUUUAGAAAUAGACCCUCCUUCGGGCAAUUUCCAAGGUGCUGCAUGGUUGUCGUCAGCUCGUGCCGUGAGGUGUUAGGUUAAGUCCUGCAACGAGCGCAACCCCUGUCACUAGUUGCUAACAUUUAGUUGAGGACUCUAGUGAGACUGCCUA
rnacentral:rRNA from 1 species